rnacentral:lncRNA from 7 species
AAGAUUAGUCCGGCGUAGCUAGGGACUCGAACUCGCUUUAACAGCAUGCGAACGUACAGAGCCCGAUAUUCUGUCCAUAUACAAAUUCCAUGUCAAAUCGUCAUGAACCUCGACAGGAAAGGUUGAAAAGAGGGGAGCUCCAUGCGAGAAUUUUUACCUUUUCCACCUUUCUUACUGCGCCUGCUUUUCAUGGCUCCGUUGAUGAUUGCGAUUCACCACCACUACCACCACUGCUGACGCCCUUCCAUCAGCGAUCUCCACAUUGACUAUCGCCCCCGGGCCAUGAGAGGAGAGCACGUCUUUCGACUGUUACCUCGAUCCCGCUGAGUCACUAUCUAGUUGAUUGGUUGCCCGCAUCAUCUUAUUCUGUAUUAUCGUGUGUGUUAAUUUUAUGUGAGCUACUGUUUGGUUACUUGUACGUAGGAGACGUGGCCUACAUGAACAUAUGCAAUAUAAGUCAUUUCACUUGCAUCCGUAAGACGUGACCUAUAUGAACAGAUGUAAUAUAAGUCAUUUCACUUGCAUCUGCAGAAACGUCUAAAACUGGCGUAUCCACACAGCCAGGCUCGCGAGAGCCUACGCGCUUGUGUGCAGGUAUCCAAUCAGAUUGUAUAUGUGUAAAACUUGAUCAUUGUAUACAUGUGAGAUGCAUC